GCACAAGCGGUGGAGCAUGUGGUUUAAUUCGACGCAACGUGAAGAACCUUACCUGGGCUCGAAAUGUAGUGGAUCGGGGUAGAAAUAUCCCUUCCUAGCAAUAGACCGCUAUAUAGGUGCUGCAUGGCUGUCGUCAGCUCGUGUCGUGAGAUGUUGGGUUAAGUCCCGCAACGAGCGCAACCCUUAUUACCAGUUGCUACCAUUUAGUUGAGCACUCUGGUGAGACUGCCUCGGAUAACGGGGAGGAAGGCGGGGAUGACGUCAAGUCCUCAUGGCCUUUAUGUCCAGGGCUACACACGUGCUACAAUGGCGGUGACAGUGGGCAGCUACUUCGCGAGGAGCGGCUAAUCCCAAAAAACCGUCCCAGUUCAGAUUGUACUCUGCAACUCGAGUACAUGAAGGUGGAAUCGCUAGUAAUCGCAGAACAGCAGGCUGCGGUGAAUACGUUCCCGGGC
rnacentral:rRNA from 1 species